rnacentral:tRNA from 3 species
GCGUGCGUAGCUCAGUUGGAUAGAGCGUUUGGCUACGAACCAAAAGGUCGGGGGUUCGAAUCCCUCCGCGCGUA